rnacentral:rRNA from 1 species
UACGUAGGUGGCAAGCGUUGUCCGGAUUUACUGGGCGUAAAGAGCGCGCAGGCGGUCGUUCAAGUCGCGUGUGAAAGCCCCCGGCUCAACUGGGGAGGGUCACGCGAUACUGAUCGACUCGAAGGCAGGAGAGGGUAGUGGAAUUCCCGGUGUAGUGGUGAAAUGCGUAGAUAUCGGGAGGAACACCAGUGGCGAAGGCGACUACCUGGCCUGUCCUUGACGCUGAGGCGCGAAAGCUAGGGGAGCAAACGGG